GACGAACGCUGGCGGCGUGCUUAACACAUGCAAGUCGAACGAAGAGCGCUGGAUGCUUGCUUCUAUCCAUCUUAGUGGCGAACGGGUGAGUAACGCGUAAUCAACCUGCCCUUCAGGGGUGGCCACCAGUAGGAAACGACUGCUACUACCGCAUACGACCUCAUCUCGGCAUCGAUGAUAGAUUAACGGCGGCCUCUACAUGUAAGCUAUCACUGAAGGAGGGGAUUGCGGCAGUGUAGCAAGUUGGAGGGGUAACGGCGCUCCAAGGCGAUGAUCAGUAGCCGGUAGGAGAGGAUGGACGGCCGCAUUGGGACGGAGACACGGCCCAGACUGCUACGGAAGGCAGCAGUGGUGAAUCUUCCGCAAGGGACGAGAGUCAGACGGAGCAAGGCCGCGUGAGUGAUGACGGCCUCCGGGUUGUAGAGCUCUGUUAAUCGGGACGAAAGGCCUUCUUGCGAAUAGUGAGAAGGAGUGACGGUACCGGAAUAGAAAGCAACGGCUAACUACGUG
rnacentral:rRNA from 1 species